UCUACGGGAGGCAGCAGUGAGGAAUAUUGGUCAAUGGCCGCAAGCCUGAACCAGCCAAGUCGCGUGAAGGAAGAAGGCCCUACGGUUUGUAAACUUCUUUUAUAGAGGAAUAAAGGUAUCCACGUGUGCCUUUUUGCAUGUACUUUAUGAAUAAGCAUCGGCAAACUCCGUGCAGCCGCCGCGGUAAUACGGAGGAUGCGGGCGUUAUCCGGGUUUAUUGGGUUUAAAGGGAGCGUAGGUUGGUUGUUAAGUCAGAGGUGAAAGUUUGUGGCUCAACCAUAAAAUUGUAGUUGAGACUGGCAGACUUGAGUGGCGUUGAGGUAGGUGGAAUGCGUGGUGGAGCGGUGAAAUGCAUAGAUAUCACGAAGAACUCCGAUUGCGAAGGCAGCUUACUAAGCUAUAACUGACACUGAUGCACGAAAGCGUGGGGAUCAAACAGGAGUAGAUACCCGUGUAGUC
rnacentral:rRNA from 1 species